rnacentral:tRNA from 1 species
GGCUCGGUGGUGUAGUUGGUUAUCACGUCAGUCUAACAAGUAUGUCCUGUUGGUCACUGAAGGUCCCGAGUUCAAACCUCGGCUGAGUCA